UCUUUAUAAUAAAUUUAUUUUAAUAAAUUAUUUUAUUUAAAUUAGUAAUUUUAAUAUUUAAAUUAUUUUAUUGGGGUGAUACAAAAAUUUAAUUAACUUUUUUAUUAAAAUUUCUUUAAUUAAAGAUUUAUAAAAAUAUGAUCUAUUAUUAAUAAUUCAGAGAAUAAGA
rnacentral:rRNA from 1 species